AUCCAGCUGACGAGUCCCAGAUCGGACGAAACGAGCGUCCUAGAU
rfam:Schistosoma curassoni strain Dakar, Senegal genome assembly, scaffold: SCTD_scaffold0001138